GGUCCUGUAGCUCAGCCAGGUUAGAGCACUACUCUGAUAAGGUAGGGGUCCGCAGUUCGAAUCUGCGCAGGACCA
rnacentral:tRNA from 1 species